AGAUUGAACGCUAGCGGGAUGCUUUACACAUGCAAGUCGAACGGCAGCGCGGACUUCGGUCUGGCGGCGAGUGGCGAACGGGUGAGUAAUAUAUCGGAACGUGCCCAGUAGCGGGGGAUAACUACGCGAAAGCGUGGCUAAUACCGCAUACGCCCUACGGGGGAAAGGGGGGAUCGCAAGACCUCUCACUAUUGGAGCGGCCGAUAUCAGAUUAGCUAGUUGGUGAGGUAAAGGCUCACCAAGGCGACGAUCUGUAGCUGGUUUGAGAGGACGACCAGCCACACUGGGACUGAGACACGGCCCAGACUCCUACGGGAGCAGCAGUGGGAAUUUUGGACAAUGGGGGAAACCCUGAUCCAGCCAGUCCCGCGUGU
rnacentral:rRNA from 1 species